UACAGAGGUCUCAAGCGUUGUUCGGAUUCAUUGGGCGUAAAGGGUGCGUAGGCGGCGCGGUAAGUCGGGUGUGAAAUCUCGGAGCUUAACUCCGAAACUGCAUUCGAUACUGGCGUGCUUGAGGACUGGAGAGGAGACUGGAAUUCAUGGUGUAGCAGUGAAAUGCGUAGAGAUCAUGAGGAAGACCAGUGGCGAAGGCGGGUCUCUGGGCCGAUACUGACGCUGAGGAGCGAAAGCGUGGGGAGCGAAUGGG
rnacentral:rRNA from 1 species